GACGAAGGGGGCUAGCGUUGUUCGGAAUUACUGGGCGUAAAGCGAGUGUAGGUGGUUGUCGUAGUCAGGCGUGAAAGCCUUGAGCUCAACUCAAGAAAUGCGCUUGAUACUGGGCAGCUAGAGGACCGGAGAGGAUAGUGGAAUUCCCAGUGUAGUGGUGAAAUACGUAGAGAUUGGGAAGAACACCAGUGGCGAAGGCGGCUAUCUGGACGGUUUCUGACACUAAGACUCGAAAGCGUGGGAGCAACAGG
rnacentral:rRNA from 1 species